AGUGAACGCUGGCGGUAGGCCUAACACAUGCAAGUCGAACGGCAGCACAGAGGAGCUUGCUCCUUGGGUGGCGAGUGGCGGACGGGUGAGGACUACAUCGGAAUCUGCCUUACCGUGGGGGACAACGUAGGGAAACUUACGCUAACACCGUCUACGACCUACGGGUGAAAGCGGAGGACCUUCGGGCUUCCCUCCAUAAGAUGAGCCGGUGUCGGAGUAGAUAGUUGGCGGGGUAAAGGCACACCAAGGCGACGAUCCGUAGCUGGUCUGAGAGGAUGAUCAGACACACUGGAACUGAGACACGGUCCAGACUCCUACGGGAGGCAGCAGUGGGGAAUAUUGGACAAUGGGCGCAAGCCUGAUCCAGCCAUGCCGCGUGGGUGAAGAAGGCCUUCGGGUUGUAAAGCCCUUUUGUCCGGAAAGAAAAGCACUGGGUUAAUACCUCGGUGUUCUGACGGUACCGGAAGAAUAAGCACCGGCUAACUUCGUGCCAGCCGCCGCCGUAA
rnacentral:rRNA from 1 species